ensembl:lncRNA
UCAAAAACUCAAGAACAUCUUAAAGAUGCACCUUUAAAGAAAAUUAUUUAAUUCAAUUCAGUUCAAUUUUAUUUGUAUAGCAUUUUUUACAAUAGACAUUGUCUCAAAGCAGCUUUACAGAAAUAUCAACAUGCUAUACAGAUAUUAAAAGGUGUGAAUUUAUCCCAACUGAGCAAGCCACUGAGUGUCGACGGUGGCAAGGAAAAACUUCCUAAGAUGUUUUAAGAGGAAGAAACCUUGAGAGGAACCAGACUCAGAAGGGAACCCAUCCUCCUCUGGGUCACAACAGAUAGCGUGAAACAGUUCAGUAUGGAUUUAUAUGAAGUCUGUAUGGCGUUAGGAGCAGCCGUAGUCCCAGCAGUCUGGAAUUAAAGAAGAUUUGAGCUCCAUCCAGAGGCAAAAAGGAUCUGGAUCUCUAGUAUCUUCAUAAAUGCAUUUCUUCAAAACCUUUGUAACCCUGUUAUUGAUUCGAAUACUCCCAUGCAACUGGACUCCCCACUCUCUCUUGAAGAAAUUAUAAAUUUAGUUAAAACUAUGCCAUCUAAUUAAGCUCCUGGCCCGGACAGAUUUUCAAUUGAUUUUUUUUUUUUUUUUAAACGUUUAUUGGAAAAUUAGCUCCAUUGCUUUUAUCUGUGUGCAACGAAUCCUUGGAAUGUGGGUCUUUGCCUCCAGCUCUGACACAAGCCCCUACAGCUCUGCUUCUUAAGGAGGGUAAGGAUCCGUCCUCCUGUGGUUCUUAUAGGCCGCUGUCUCUGCUUAAUGCAGAUGUAAAGCUGUUGGCGAAAGUAAUGGCAUCUCGUUUAGAGAACGUACUCCCUCAUAUUAUAUCUGAAGAGCAGAACGGUUUUAUAAAGGGACAUCAAUUGUUUUUCAAUACCUGUACACCAGGGGUCUCAGACUCCCGGCCCGGGGGCCAAUUGCGGCCCGCGGAACGAUAUUUUGUGGCCCCCUACUUGAAAUCAAAGCUUGCUGUUAGUGCAGCCCACCCCCACUAACUUUUUCUUACAUGCACCUGCAUGAGUCAUUGCCCUGGGUGUUUUAUAUUUUUUAACACUUGUGGGCUACCAUAGCUCAGGCUCGUGACAACAACACGAAUUAUC